rnacentral:sRNA from 1 species
AAUCAUCCGUAGGGUAACCUGCGGAGGGAUCAUACCGAGUACAACUCCCAAACCCCUGUGAACAUACCAAUGGGUUGCCUCGGCGGAUCAGCCCGCUCCCGGUAAAAGGCGGGACGGCCCGCCAGAGGACCCCUAAACUCUGCUAUAUGUAACUUCUGAGUAAAACCAUAAAUAAAUCAAAACUGGAACAACAACGGAUGGUUCGGCAUCGAUGAAGAACGCAGCAAAAUGCGAUAACCAAGGGUAAUGUGAAUUGCAAACCGGGAAUUCAGUGAAUCAUCGAAUCUGAACGCACAUGCGCCCGCCAGUAUUCUGGCCGGCGGGCAUGCCUGUUCGAGCGUCAUCAACCCUCAAGCCCCCGGGUGGUGUUGGGGAUCGGCGAGCCCUUGCGGCAAGCCGGCCCCGAAAUCUAGUGGCGGUCUCGCUGCAGCUCCAUUGCGUAGUAGUAAAACCCUCGCAACUGGUACGCGGCGCGGCCAAGCCGUUAAACCAACUCUGAAUGUUGACCUCGGAUCAGGUAGGAAUACCCGCUGAACUAAGCAUAUCAAAAGCGGGAGGAAUGGUGCAGAAUCAUUUAG